rnacentral:lncRNA from 1 species
GGAAUUGCAACAGCUUACGCCACUGAAUCAAACGUGUUAGUCGCCCCCUUUCCCUUUCUUACUAGCAACAUUUCUUGAUUUGUUUUUUCGCUUUUUCGAAGAGUUCUUUUCUUUCAAUUCUUUAUGAUGCUUCUGUUUGUCCGUUGAGGUAAUGUCACUUAACAGCUCGCUAUCUGCAGAAUCGGGAAGUUCAGCAACCUUGUCCUCCAAUUUCCCCUUAUCUUCAUGGUGCUUCUCUUCAUCCGUUGAGGUAAUGUCACUUAAUGGCUCGCUAUCUGCAGCAUUGGUAAGUUUAGCAUCCUUGUCCUCCAAUCUCCCCUCAUCAUGUUCUGGCUCAAGGACCGACAUUCCGGUUAAAGUAUAGUCCAACAUGAAUAUGCUUCUUGCUGAUCUAUC